rnacentral:sRNA from 1 species
AUUGCAAGGCUGCGAUGAGACGACAUGGA